rnacentral:rRNA from 1 species
UCGGGAAUUUUGGGCAAUGGGCGAAAGCCUGACCCAGCAACGCCGCGUGAGGGAUGAAGUAUUUCGGUAUGUAAACCUCGAAGGAAUGGGAAGAAUAAAUGACGGUACCAUUUAUAAGCUCCGGCUAACUACGUGCCAGCAGCCGCGGUAAUACGUAGGGAGCAAGCGUUGUUCGGAUUUACUGGGCGUAAAGGGCGCGUAGGCGGCGCGGUAAGUCACUUGUGAAAUCUCUGAGCUUAACUCAGAACGGCCAAGUGAUACUGCUGUGCUAGAGUGCGGAAGAGGCAACCCGAAUUCUUGGUGUCGCGGUGAAAUGCGUAGAUAUCAAGAGGAACACCUGAGGCGAAGGCGGGUUGCUGGGCCGACACUGACGCUGAGGCACGAAAGCGUGGGGAUCAAACA